GACGUAUGGUAAUGUCAUGAACUGGUGGGAAAUUCCUUGAUUAUGCUAAUACCGCCUAGGGAUAGGGUUGGACGAUCAUUGUAUUUUGCUUCUGUUCGCAUUGCGUUAUUGGUUACUAGGGGAGGGUAGGGAUAACAAGCCGGUAAUUAAUAAGAGGCUCUUUUCACCAAGGGAUUGGGUUAAGGGUAGGCUAGAAAGUUUGCAUGGCAAUGAGAUAAAUAAGUGAAGUAAAUAAGAAGAGUAAAUAUAUUAGAGCGAAUAAGAUGAAAUUGUAAACCCCAACAACACCACUCAUCCAUAGUUUCUCAAAACCAAUUGAAUCAACUGGAUUUGCAUGUUUAUUUUUGUUCUUUGCAUACAACCACCAAUUUAAUUCUUUUCUCAAGUCUUACACGAUUUGUUUACAUGAAAAGUAAGGCCUAAGAGUCCUUUGGGAAGAACGAUAUUGGGUUUACCAAUUAUAUUACUUGAUAACGAUCUGGUACACUUGCCAGGGGCUUAACAUC
rnacentral:lncRNA from 1 species